rnacentral:lncRNA from 1 species
GCCAAGACCUUGACGGUCGUAACAUCACCGUUAACGAAGCUCAAUCACGCGGAAGCGGCGGCGGCGGCGGCGGCGGUGGUUUCCGCGGUGGACGUCGUGAAGGAGGCGGCGGAUACGGAGGUGGAGGAUAUGGAGGUGGAAGACGCGAGGGCGGCGGUGGUGGUUACGGCGGCGGCGGUUAUGGUGGUGGCCGUGACCGUGGAUAUGGCGGUGGUGACCGUGGAUACGGUGGUGAUGGCGGAUCACGCUACUCAAGGGGUGGUGGUGACUCUGAUGGAAACUGGAG